rnacentral:rRNA from 1 species
CCUACGGUGUGCAGCAGUGAGGAAUAUUGGUCAAUGGUCGGGAGACUGAACCAGCCAAGCCGCGUGAGGGAGGAAGGUACAGAGUAUCGUAAACCUCUUUUGUCAGGGAACAAAGGCGGGGACGUGUCCCCGGAUGAGUGUACCUGAAGAAAAAGCAUCGGCUAACUCCGUGCCAGCAGCCGCGAUAAUACGGGGGAUGCGAGCUUUAACCGGAUUUAUUGGGUUUAAAGGGUGCGCAGGCGUUCUGUUACGUCACCGGUCAAAGCCCGGGGCUCAACCCCGCCCCGCCGUUGAAACUGGCAGUCUCGAGUUGGAGAGAAGUAUGCGGAAUGCGCGGUGUAGCGGUGAAAUGCAUAGAUAUCGCGCAGAACUCCGAUUGCGAAGGCAGCAUGCCGGCUCCACACUGACGCUGAGGCACGAAAGCGUGGGUAUCGAACAGGAUUAGAUACCCGAGUAGUC